rnacentral:rRNA from 1 species
UACGGGGGGGGCAAGCGUUGUCCGGAAUUAUUGGGCGUAAAGAGCGUGUAGGCGGCCAGAUAAGUCCGCUGUGAAAUCUCGGGGCUCAACUUCGAGCUGUCGGUGGAAACUAUCUGGCUAGAGUCCGGAAGAGGAGAAUGGAAUUCCUGGUGUAGCGGUGAAAUGCGCAGAUAUCAGGAAGAACACCCGUGGCGAAGGCGGUUCUCUGGGACGGUACUGACGCUGAGACGCGAAAGCGUGGGGAGCGAACAGG